CCUACGGGUGGCAGCAGUGAGGAAUAUUGGUCAAUGGGCGCAAGCCUGAACCAGCCAAGCCGCGUGAGGGAUGACGGUCCUAUGGAUUGUAAACCUCUUUUGUCGGGGAGCAAGGCCCGCCACGUGUGGCGGGAAGGAGAGUACCCGAAGAAAAAGCAUCGGCUAACUCCGUGCCAGCAGCCGCGGUAAUACGGAGGAGGCGAGCGGUAUCCGGAUUUAUUGGGUUUAAAGGUUGCGUAGGGGGAAGGUUAAGUCAGCGGUCAAAUGGCGGUGCUCAAUACCGGCCUGCCAUUGAUACUGGGCUUCUUGAGUGGGCGAGAAGUAUGCGGAAUGCGUGGUGUAGCGGUGAAAUGCAUAGAUAGCACGCAGAACUCCGAUUGCGAAGGCAGCAUACCGGCGCUCAACUGACGCUGAGGCACGAAAGCGUGGGGAUCGAACAGGAUUAGAUACCCCUGUAGUC
rnacentral:rRNA from 1 species